rnacentral:rRNA from 1 species
CUGGAGGCAGCAGUGGGGAAUCUUGCACAAUGGGGGCAACCCUGAUGCAGCGACGCCGCGUGAGCGAUGAAGCCCUUCGGGGUGUAAAGCUCUUUCGGCAGGGACGAUGAUGACGGUACCUGCAGAAGCAGCUGCGGCUAACUACGUGCCAGCAGCCGCGGUAAUACGUAGGCAGCAAGCGUUGUUCGGAGUUACUGGGCGUAAAGGGUGCGUAGGCGGCUCUUCAAGUCUGGUGUGAAAUCUCCCGGCUCAACCGGGAGGGUGCGCCGGAUACUGAGGGGCUUGGAGUGCGGGAAGGGAGAGUGGAAUUCCUGGUGUAGCGGUGAAAUGCGUAGAUAUCAGGAGGAACACCGGCGGUGUAAACGGCUCUCUGGACCGUAACUGACGCUGAGGCACGAAAGCGUGGGGAGCAAACAGGAUUAGAUACCCCGGU